UACGAAGGGGGCUAGCGUUGUUCGGCAUCACUGGGCGUAAAGCGCACGGAGGCGGAUCGAUAAGUCGGGGGUGAAAGCCCGGGGCUCAACCUCGGAAUUGCCUUCGAUACUGUCGGUCUCGAGUGCGGGAGAGGUGAGUGGAAUUCCUAGUGUAGAGGUGAAAUUCGUAGAUAUUAGGAAGAACACCAGCGGCGAAGGUGGCUCACUGGCCCGGUAUUGACGUUCAGGUGCGAAAGCGUGGGGAGCAAACAGG
rnacentral:rRNA from 1 species